rnacentral:rRNA from 1 species
UUUUCGCUAUAAGAUGAGUCCGCGUAAGAUUAGCUAGUUGGUGAGGUAACGGCUCACCAAGGCGACGAUCUUUAACUGGUCUGAGAGGAUGAUCAGUCACACUGGAACUGAGACACGGUCCAGACUCCUACGGGAGGCAGCAGUAGGGAAUAUUGCACAAUGGAGGAAACUCUGAUGCAGCGACGCCGCGUGAGUGAUGAAGGCCUUCGGGUCGUAAAGCUCUGUCGCAGGGGAAUAACACAAUGAAUGUACCCUGUAAGAAAGGAUCGGCUAACUUCGUGCCAGCAGCCGCGGUAAGACGAGGGAUCCUAGCGUUGUUCGGAAUUAUUGGGCGUAAAGCGGAUGUAGGUGGCUUUGUAAGUCAGAUGUGAAAGCCCAGGGCUCAACCCUGGAAGUGCAUUUGAUACUGCGAAGCUUGAGUGUCGGAGAGGUUACUAGAAUUGUUGGUGUAGUGGUGAAAUACGUAGAUAUCAACAGGAAUACCGGAGGCGAAA